ensembl:lncRNA
AUACUGCUCAAAAAAAUAAAGGGAACACUUAAACAACACAAUAUAACUGUAAAUCAAACUUCUGUGAAAUCAAACUGUCCACUUAGGAAGCAACACUGAUUGACAAUCAAUUUCACAGCUGUUGUGCAAAUGGAAUAGAUGUUAGACGGGUCAAAAAAAAGUGUUAUUUUCUUGAUUGAUCUUUAAAAUACAUUUUGGAUUUGUGUUGGUGUAUUUAUGUUUUGAGUGUUUGGUUUUACUUAAAUUUUUCGUGUGCUGUGCUGUGUAAUUUUGGGUGUUUUUGAUUUCUUUUGGGGCCGUCUGACUAUCUCCACCUGGACCUAAUAACUGUCUCUUUAAUCAGCCUAUCAGCGUGGAAAGCGAGCGCGGGUGCUCGGGGACUCUUAUUUUAAAAGCGGACUUUUACAGGAGGGGAGAGAGAUCCGGGGAGAGAGAUCCGGGGAGAGAGAUCGGUGGCGAGAGAUCGGUGGCACAGGUGUGCUGCGGGUGUGGAUAGUGCAGCAGAGGCGGAAGCAGCCGGGAGCGUGGCUAGAACGCCAGCAGGAUUCGGCGCAGCAUUAGCCGGCAGUAGGGGCUUGGUCCGAGUGGCGUGUGAGUGCAGCGGCUGGCAGCAGAUUCAGGAGGAACUGCUGGAGUGUGUGCAUGCGGUGACGUCAGCGGCGGCUCAAAGGGAAUGCUGGAUAGAAGACCGAGGGUCAUCCUAUACACCACAGGCGUGUUGCUGCAAUUUCUGGGUAGUGGUUUCGAUCACUACCCGGAACUGUAGCGGCGUGGUGAGACUCAAGGGAGCCGUGUCUACAUUCCCCUGGUCGUUAUGGACUUCUUUUAUUGAAACAGUGAACCGGACUUUCCUUCCUUUUAGUUCCUGUGUAUUCUUGGUUCCCCUUUGUGUUUUUUUGGUUUAUUUGGUAUUAUUCUUUUGUUUUGCGUUUUUGUUUAUUUAUUUUCCUGUUGUUUUGCUUUCGUUCCCAUUAAUCUACCGCAACGACCUAGCUUUUAGUGUAUAUAUUUGCUCAAAGUAUAAAAUAAAACAUUGCUUGUUUGAGUAUGCUGUCUCCUGUUGGGAUCACUGGCUCAUACUCUGUUCCCUCCCAAACGAAUUUAUUAUUUCUUUACUAGUGUGGGUGAGUCGUGUGGAGUUUGGGUUAGAUUGGGUUCUGGUUGUACAUCUUUCUCUAUCUCAAUGGUUCCUAGGAGUAGUAAAUUUUAAUAGUAGGUUUUAA